AUUUAACGCUGGCGGCAGGCCUAACACAUGCAAGUCGAACGAGUGGCGGACGGGUGAGUACUGUAUGGGAACCUGCCUGAUGGAGGGGGAUAACUACUGGAAACGGUAGCUAAUACCGCAUACCAACGGAUGUGCCCACAUGGGAUUAGCUAGUAGGUGGGGUAAAGGCUCACCUAGGCUAAGAUCCCUAGCUGGUCUGAGAGGAUUACGAGCGACACUGGAACUGAGACACGGUCCAGACUCCUACGGGAGGCAGCAGUGGGGAAUAUUGCACAAUGGGCGCAAGCCUGAUGCAGCCAUGCCGCGUGUAUGAAGAAGGCCUUCGGGUUGUAAAGUACUUUCAGCGGGGAGGCGUUACCCGCAUAAGAAGCACCGGCUAACUCCGUGCCAGCAGCCGCGGUAAUUC
rnacentral:rRNA from 1 species